rnacentral:tRNA from 1 species
GCACCUGUGGCUCAAAGGAGUAGGGCACCGGCCUCAUAUACCGGAGGUGGCAGGUUCAAACCUGGCCUGGGCCA